UGCAACCUGAGCUCAGUCGUGAUUACCCGCUGAACUUAAGCAUAUCACUUAGCGGAGGAAGAAACUAA
rnacentral:rRNA from 1 species